UCUAGUGGCAAUAGCGGAGGGGUUACACCCGUUCUCAUUCCGAACACGGAAGUUAAGUCCUCCAGCGCUGAUGGUACUUGGAUGGAGACGUCCUGGGAGAGUAGGUCGCUGCUAGAU
rnacentral:rRNA from 1 species